rnacentral:lncRNA from 1 species
GGUUCAGAUUGCAAUAUUUUUGAUCAAAUUAUUCUAAUACAUAUUUGAAUAAAUCUGGAACAAUAUCCCUAAUGCGCCUUGAAAUGAGGAACUCAAAAGUCACGUGUAAAAAACAAAUCUCUGUGUAGUGAUAUCUGACACAUUUCUAUGAUAAACAAGUGACUGAGCUUAACCAUUUGUGUUAAUUUAGAAAGUAGGGGA